UACGUAGGGGGCAAGCGUUAUCCGGAUUUACUGGGUGUAAAGGGAGCGUAGACGGCCAUGCAAGUCUGAAGUGUAAGCUCGGGGCUCAACCCCGGAACUGCUUUGGAAACUGUAAGGCUGGAGUGCAGGAGAGGUAAGCGGAAUUCCUAGUGUAGCGGUGAAAUGCGUAGAUAUUAGGAGGAACACCAGAGGCGAAGGCGGCUUACUGGGCAGCAACUGACGUUGAGGCUCGAAGGCGGGGGGAGCAAAC
rnacentral:rRNA from 1 species